AGGCCACAAUUAAAAAUAUUUCAGUUUGCCCAAACCCGACCCAUGAUGACUGGGUGUGGGUAGGUAGGUAGGCAAAUUCUUUUUUUUUUUUUUUUUAUCGAAUUUGCAUGAAAAUAUUAAAAGAUCUUAAAACAGUAUAUCUUUUUUUUUCUCUGUCAAACCUUUGUAGAGACAACCAAAAGCCAUGAAUUUAAAACCUCUAUAAAUAAAUUAGUUUACUAUAUGAUUUGUAUCCUGAGAUGUUUAUAACCCUGACAAUUGCUAACUGUGUGAAAGGGCUGUUGGAUUUGUGAAGUGAUUUUCAACAGUUCCAUCAACACGAUGUUUGUGUAAAAAAAAUAUCAGCUGAUUAUGUAAUGAUUAAAUUUGUUUGCAGUUUUUAAAUCCUAUUUCUAUUAAAAUAGAUUAAAUGUCCUAAAAUAUUUAUAUGAAUUAUUAUCUACCAUCCUUAGUUUGUGUCUUUUUUAUGUUUUGAAAAAAAAAAUUAUAUUUUACAUUAUCACACAGGUAAACUAAUUUGGCUAUAAAUAGAUCAAAGCAUGUUCUGUAGAAUCUCCAAACUAAAAACGUAUUUGUUAUAAUUUUAUUUCUUUAAAUAAUCAAGUUUAAAUUUUUGAAAAUAAUCAUUAUUGAUAAAAUAUAAUUGCAUAAAGUUAACGUUUUCUGAAGACUUUAUUUUUAGGUCAUGGUUCUAGAGGCUUCCUCACAAAUUGUAUAAAAAUCCAAUAUGGCGUCCAUAACAUGUUUUUACUUUUGCACAUGUGAAAAAAUAUUUCUGACAAAAGUCAGAUUUUUCUUGUCAAAAGGGAUUUAUAUUUAUAUUGCAAUAAAUUAUUCAGAAGGAGUUACAUUCAGUUAAGAUUAUAUUUCUGAUUCUGUGAGCAAUUAUAGUUUUAUCAAAUUCUCCCAAACAGCAACGUACUGAUCUUGUCUAAUGAGACUUGUAAAUUUGAACUAUUUGAAUAAAAGGGCAUCUAAUUUACAUGAUAAAGGAAGAUUAUAAUUAAAGACAACAAUUUAUCAAGAAAUAAUUCCUUUUUUAUUCAGUAAAAACAAAAUCUUCUUGCAAGAUUGUAAAUUCGCAACUUCCGGAUCCAUUUCCUGUCAGAAUAACAUUGAAAAUAUUCGAUUGCACAUGGUUUUGAACAAAUCUACCUGAAUAUUCUUAUCAGAUAUUCGAUAACACGAUGAAAUUAACAUUGAGCAUAUAGGUAAGGGUUUGGUAGUACAAACAACUACAGCGUAAAAAAACUGUGCCACUUCACAUGUUUUACUUCUUUACGUUCGUUAAAUCAGAAGAUAAAACAGAGAACAUCGAAUAUCGAUUAACUGCGUCUCUUAUACGCUUUCUUUUAAUCUUAUUCACAGUUACUUUCAAACGCAAAGACGACAAACAUUAAGUUUUGUACGAUGACGGAGCGGACCCAAAAUAAAUCCGAAAAAAAAAAAAUUCUUCCAAAAAACGUCAAAAAAAAGAAUUUGAGUCGGCGGGUUUAUUUUGGGUCGGUCGCGUUUGGGCAAACAUACAAUCUUUUUAUUUUGGCCUUAA
rnacentral:lncRNA from 1 species